AUAGAGUUUAGUGGUAAAGUGCUUGCCUCACACACACAAGGCUCUGGGUUCAAUCCCCAGCACUAUA
rnacentral:tRNA from 1 species